UGGCUCAGUUGGUAGAGCAUGGUGUUUGCAACGCCAGCAUGGUGUGUGCAUGGUGUUUGCAACGCCAGCAUGGUGUGUGCAACGCCAGGGUUGUGGGUUCGAUUCCCAC
rnacentral:tRNA from 1 species